UACGAAGGGGGCUAGCGUUGCUCGGAAUUACUGGGCGUAAAGCGCACGUAGGCGGCUUUCUAAGUCGGGGGUGAAAUCCUGGAGCUCAACUCCAGAACUGCCUUCGAUACUGGAAAGCUCGAGUCCGGGAGAGGUGAGUGGAACUGCGAGUGUAGAGGUGAAAUUCGUAGAUAUUCGGAAGAACACCAGUGGCGAAGGCGGCUCACCGGCCCGGUACUGACGCUGAGGUGCGAAAGCGUGGGGAGCAAACAGG
rnacentral:rRNA from 1 species